UGGGGGAUAUUGCACAAUGGGGGAAACCCUGAUGCAGCAACGCCGCGUGAAGGAAGAAGGUCUUCGGAUUGUAAACUUUUGUCUUUAGGGAAGAAUAGAUGACGGUACCUAAGGAGGAAGCCACGGCUAACUACGUGCCAGCAGCCGCGGUAAUACGUAGGUGGCAAGCGUUGUCCGGAUUUACUGGGUGUAAAGGGCGUGUAGACGGGACUGCAAGUCAGAUGUGAAAUUUAUGGGCUCAACCCAUAACCUGCAUUUGAAACUGUGGUUCUUGAGUGAUGGAGAGGUAAGCGGAAUUCCUAGUGUAGCGGUGAAAUGCGUAGAUAUUAGGAGGAACACCGGUGGCGAAGGCGGCUUACUGGACAUUAACUGACGUUGAGGCGCGAAAGUGUGGGGAGCAAACAGG
rnacentral:rRNA from 1 species